CCAGUGACAGCGGAGGUCCGACAGUUACCUCCCAGAGAGAGAGUGGACCUUACCCAGCGGAGGUCCGACAGUUACCUCCCAGAGAGAGAGUGGACCUUACCCAGCGGAGGUCCGACAGUUACCUCCCAGAGAGAGAGGGGACCUUACCCAGCGGAGGUCCGACAGUUACCUCCCAGAGAGAGAGGGGACCUUACCCAGCGGAGGUCCGACAGUUAGCUCCCAGAGAGAGAGGGGACCUUACCCAGCGGAGGUCCGACAGUUACCUCCCAGAGAGAGAGGGGACCUUACCCAGCGGAGGUCCGACAGUUACCUCCCAGAGAGAGAGGGGACCUUACCCAGCGGAGGUCCGACAGUUAGCUCCCAGAGAGAGAGGGGACCUUACCCAGCGGAGGUCAGACAGUUACCUCCCAGAGAGAGAGGGGACCUUACCCAGCGGAGGUCAGACAGUUACCUCCCAGAGAGAGAGGGGACCUUACCCAGCGGAGGUCCGACAGUUACCUCCCAGAGAGAGAGGGGACCUUACCCUGGCUUGGCUACGCUCCCUCACUUCCUCAAUCUAGUUCGCUAUUUGACAGCGGUGCCUGUCCCCUUCAUAUUAAGGACAGUGAUACACCACGCCCGCCGUGCAAGCUGAAUUCGGUUAACAACCGUGGAACACAAGGAUCCCUGAAUUAUUUGUUGUGAAGAACCCGCACUUCCACUUCUGCUUUCAAACAAGCCCUGGAGCCUUGUGCUGUUCCUUCUGUUGUGAGGUUUGCACUUCCAGGAAUUUCGUCUUCUCCGUUGUUUCCAGGAGUCGCAGUUCUGACUUAGCUUUCUGUUACUCGGCCUUGCUUCCUGGGCAGCGUUCUAGUCACUGGCUUUCCACCAUAAGCCUCUGGUUUUGGACUUCUGGGAAGUAUAAGGUACGUGGUUGUCCGUUGGCGCAGGAUAAGGGUGGAGCUUGCUCUGGGAGGUGGAGCUUAUGGCAGUGGGAGGUCGACUUCUAUGUCAGAUGGAGUGCAGGGGAUAUUUAUGGACCCUUGGCCAUGACCUUCUGAGGGUCAGGGUGAAGCCUAAGCACUGACCCAUCAUCCUUACCUCCCUCUCCCUUUUCAGGCUCUCAGAAGGGAGUAGAAUGGGGACCCUCAGGAACUCCAGCUGCAGUUAUCGGAUUCCAAACUGUAUUAAUAGCUUUGCCCCACCUGUGCUCCUAAACAUCAAACGUGGGGACUUCAAGUGCUACUGCGGUGCCCCAGUUUAUCAUCCCACAUCUCCUUGUCCCUCCAGUCACACCUAGAUCUCCUGUGGAUGGCAAGUUGUAACAUUUUCACCAUGGCCCAUGUCCACUGGACUUGAACACACACUGUUGCCUUGCUUCCUCCCCUAACGUUAGAGAUUGAACCUGUAUCCUGGCUCUGGGCUAAGGCAAUCAUCUUGCAUGCAUUGAUCUAGUCAAGGAACAGCUGCUGACGCUUUUUGUGGCCUUGGCAUUAAGUGAGGUGCUGGAGACGAAACGGGGGGGGAAGCACAGACAGUGCAUGGACGAAAAGCCCAAAUCCGAUGGCCGGUGCCCUGAAUCCAGGAAAGAGGUCACAUGGAGCUGCAACGCAAUGCGUAACCAGGCAGUUCACUCUUCAUCGGUUCAUUAGGCUUUACAAUUCAAAGGUUCGUUACUUCCUAGGUGGAUUUUUGCCCCACUGUCAUCUCUGUUUUAUUACGCCAAUCUGGUCCAUGUAAAGGAAUAGUUGAUGACACACUUCAGUAGAACACAUUAUCUCUGGUUUCCCUAAUAUGCCUGGUUUUCUCUGCAGAUGCAUUCUGCUUCCUUCCCCACCUUGCUCUCAGCCCUGGAUGGUGAUCCGCACGAGGUGUACCACCGCGUGUUCUCAGCCAGUGGGAGGGCUCACUUGGCAUCAGAAGGAGCAAGAAGAGCAAAUCCAGGUGAUCAUUCUCUCAGCUCCCUUCCUGCGGGUUCACCUUGUAUUCUGCCCAUUUCUCCGUGCUUGUCUAUUUCGGUGGCUAUAGGAAAUUCAACAGAGACUUGACGGUUUUCUUUUUCUUUUUUUUAAGAUUUAUUUUAUUUAUUUGAAAGACAGAGUUACAGAGAGAGGUAGAGACAGAGAGAGAUCUUCCAUUCGAUGGUUCACUCCCCAGAUGGCUGUAAUGGCCAGAGCUGCACCAAUCCAAAGCCAGGAGCCAGGAACUUCCUCUGGGUCUCCCACGUGGGUGCAGGGGCUCAAGGCCUUGGGCCAUCUUCUACUGCUCUCCCAGGCCAUAGCAGAGAGCUGGAUCAGAAGAGGAGCAGUGCCCAUAUGGGAUGCCGGCGCUGCAGGCCAGGGCUUUAACCUGCUGUACCACAGCAUCGGCUCUGAUGGUGUUCUUUUUCAAAGUCAGAAAAGAAUCUAGGGAGAUUGCAGAGAUAGUAAUGGAAAAUAAGACAGUUUUGGAAAGCAAAACUAUCUUCAUGAACCUUGUGAAGACAAAAUUUCCUAAGUAGGACUCAAAAAGAAUAAUUCAUGAAGAUUGAGGAGCAGGACUAUGUUAAAAUUUAAUAAUGGUCAUAACUAAGAAAAGUUAAGCCAUAAUGUGAUCGAAGAUAUUUGUAAUAUGUGGACCAGAGGUCUAGGAUCCAUAAAAUACAAACAGUCAAUAAUUACAACAAAACAGACAAUUCCUUAGAAAAAAGGCAAGAGAGAUGGCACUUCAUGGAGAAGCAUAUUUUCGUAGUCAAUACAAAUAAACUUUAAGAGUUUUGCUUUACUAAUAAAAGACAUUCAAAUUAAUAUCACAGUAGAACACUAAGAUGCCCAAGGUGUGGGGAGCAACUGGGAGCAACCCGGACUAUACUAAGUUACUGGAAUUAAGACUUAUUCUAUGCAUCUGCUCUCCCACAAUAUGGCACUGAGAAGGAAGUAACAACUUCUACACAGCUGCCUCCAGUUCAACCAAUGAACAGCAGGACCUGCUCCUGAUUGGAGGAGAGCAGCGUACUCGGCGUGUGGGUAGCAGAGUUGGGAUUGGUGGAAGAGGACUAUAAAGGAGGAGAGAGACAACAUGCACCAGGAACAUCUAUCUGAAGGAACACCUGUGCAGCCCCCGAGAGAGCCGGCCGGCGGUGUGCCGCUCCCCCGCGGAAGUGGGGAAAGUGGCAGGGGGAACCGCCCUUCCACGGAGGUGGAAGGGACAGUAGCCAACCCGGGGAAGAACCAGCAGCAAACCCGGGGAGGGCCGAGCAGACAAAAGAACAGCGCAGGGUCCUGUGUCGCUCCUCCCUGAAGAGGGGGAGCGACAUAAUGGUGCCGUGACUCGGAUAGGAAGCCUAGGCAGGGUUUAGUGUCGUUCCUCCGCGAAGAGGGGGAGCGACACAAGGAAAAUAAACUGGCAGUACAAGUGUUUGCUAAGUUGUUGGAACAAUGACAAUCUGGCUACAAUUGUUAGGUCUGUAUUUGUACAAUAAACCCAGAUAACAAACAGACAGUUUUGGUCCUAUAAUUCUAAUACCUGAUAUUUUCAGACCAGAGAUGAUUGCAUGUGUGUACAAAGAGAAACAUACAAUAAUUUCCAUAAAAGCACUAUUCAUAUUAGCAAAAAUUACUUUGAAAUAACAAAAAUGUGCACCGACAGUGGAACAUACUGUGUUUAUUAAUAGAGCGCCACACAGUCCAUCUUUUCAGGACCUGCCAGGAUGCCCAGCACGGCUAGCACCUCACGCCGAGAACGCUCCGGCUGCUGUUUCAUCUUCUCUGUGCUGGGAACACAUCUUCAUAAGGCGAUUUCCCUCUACCGAGUAGCCACUCCUCUGUCCUGUCUCCCUCGUGUUUACCAUCAGAACCACAUCAAGCUCAUUCCUAUUCAGUGUCUGAUUGUUGUGGAUCGGUCCAUGUAGGGACCUUUGUUAUCUACAGUUCAGCAUGCAGGAUUUUUCAACCCCCACCCUUACCUUCUCACGGGUACUGAAGGCUGAACAAAGCUGUGAGCUUGCCUUGUAUCUCUCUUCUGUCUCCGUGUCACUAGCACAAUACUGAAUCUAUAGCAGAUGUUCUGUAAAAACAUGCUCGAGGAAAUAUCUCCUGAUGGGGAACUAGCCUUUGAUCCAUGAUAGCUAAUUGUAUUUAAACAUGACAUGACAAUAAGUCUUCUUCACUGUGGGAAAAGUAUAAUCACGUUCAUUUUUUUUUACUCCAGUAAUGUAUUCCUAAGUUCUGAUCAAGAUAUUUUGGAAAAAAGGUCUGUUGGAGUUAAAAGUAAUUUUGAAAUAUGGUUUCACAUUGCUCAUUACAGAAUACUUCUCACAGUAACAUUAUGUGGUUUUGAAAAUCUUCCUAAGUACUUCCGACUCCAGUGAGUUGUCAUGGAAAAAAUCCAGUAAGCAUAUUUCAAGCGAUAUAUUUUUCUUUUGCCCCUGCCAAACAUUCUAUAAAUAGAAACUGAGAAUAUUUCUGCCUAUUUCCUGUCCAUGCUUUCUACUAGCAAAAUUCUGUAGCAAGGCCAGAUUACACUACUUUUCUUGAGUGUUGGCGUUUGUAGGUGAGUCAGCACCAUU